UAGUAGAUGUGCGACGCUUCUUAGUUGAG
rnacentral:piRNA from 1 species